AGGAAUCUGAAUUUGAAAAACCAAUAAAUUCAGCAUCAGCAGGUGACAUUACUAAAGCUGCAGAAGCUGCGCUAAAGUUGGAGCGGGAAAGAUUAAAAAAGUUGGAAGACUUGGAUGAAGGAAACAAGGCAUUAGGAUUGAAUGUAAAUAAGGAUUAUGUUCGCCAUGAAAGAAAUAUCUCUAAAUUGAUACGGCAGAUUACAAGAACGAAUGAUGUUGUCAAGUAAUAUUGGAUUUCUGUCCAUCAAUCUACAUAUUUUUAUUCAAC